rnacentral:ncRNA from 1 species
AUUCAAGGGGUGCUCCUUGCGGGCUGAGAUGAUACCCUAUAACCUGAUCCGGAUAAUGCCGGCGUAGGUAUGGAUAUU